rnacentral:rRNA from 1 species
AUUCAACGCUGGCGGCAUGCCUUACACAUGCAAGUCGAACGGCAGCACGGGGCAACCUGGUGGCGAGUGGCGAACGGGUGAGUAAUGCAUCGGAACGUACCUUUCAGUGGGGGAUAACGUAGCGAAAGUUACACUAAUACCGCAUAUUCUGUGAGCAGGAAAGCAGGGGAUCGCAAGACCUUGCGCUGAUUGAGCGGCCGAUGUCAGAUUAGCUAGUUGGUGAGGUAAAGGCUCACCAAGGCGACGAUCUGUAGCGGGUCUGAGAGGAUGAUCCGCCACACGGGAACUGAGACACGGUCCAGACUCCUACGGGAGGCAGAAGUGGGGAAUUUUGGACAAUGGGGGCAACCCUGAUCCAGCCAUGCCGCGUGAGUGAAGAAGGCCUUCGGGUUGUAAAGCUCUUUCGGCCGGGAAGAAAUCGCACGGGCUAAUACCCUGUGUGGAUGACGGUACCGGAAUAAGAAGCACCGGCUAACUACGUGCCAGCAGCCGCCGUAA